GUGGAUUUCUCACACACACACAUACAAAUGAUGUCAUUGAGGUUCGAACCUGAGACCUCUUGUCUGCAAAUUAAGACCCUUUUUCAUUGGGCUAUACCCGUUGCCUUGUUAACUUAAAACUCUAACAACACGCCAAGUUUCCAAUACCAAUCUCAUUUUUCGAUUGGACUGAUUGGAACCGCCACCACUAUCACUUUCACUAUAAAUAAGUAGCCAAUAACUUCUAUUGUUCCUACACUUACUUAAUUCUAUUGCCGUUUGCCUUCCUUCUCUUCCAAGUAAUUUUAUCUCUCUCUUGCCCUACUAGCUUC
rnacentral:lncRNA from 1 species